UACAGAGGUCUCAAGCGUUGUUCGGAUUUACUGGGCGUAAAGGGCGCGCAGGCGGCUCAUUUUGUCAGGCGUGAAAGCCCCGGGCUUAACCUGGGAACUGCGUUUGAUACGGAUGGGCUAGAGUUCGGGAGAGGAGCGUGGAAUUCCCAGUGUAGAGGUGAAAUUCGUAGAUAUUGGGAAGAACACCGGUGGCGAAGGCGGCGCUCUGGACCGAGACUGACGCUGAGGCGCGAAAGCGUGGGGAGCAAACAGG
rnacentral:rRNA from 1 species